UAAUGAAAAGUGUUAACUUUAUUGAGAAAAAUUUAAGUGCAGAAUGCUUACUACUGUGAAUAAGUUUUGCAUAUGUGUCUAUCUACCUGUCUUUUAUUGCAUCAUUAGUUUAAAUUGAUUUAAUCGUAUCAAGUUAAACCCAUUUGCAUAUUAUCAUUGUGUAGAGAUAUACAUUUUAGCACGCAAGUACUUUGAAUCACAGACAUCUAUAAUACACAGUCUGUGGGUGAUUCUGAAAUAGAUUUACAUAUUUAUAUAGGGAGCCAUAUUGGGAUCACUGGGAUAGUUUCCUGAAAUAGAAGAACUAAUUUCUGUGAGGAUAUUAAGAAGACAGCUGUCGUGUAAUGCUUCCCAAGUAGUUUAAGGUACAUAAACAAUAUUCUGUAAUGAACACUCAGAUUAGCAUAUCAGAUGAAAGAGUGGAAAUUCAUCCUGAAUAACUUUUAAAGGAAAGACAUUUUGAAAAAAAUUAAAGAAACAAAGUUUUUUCCUCCUUGUUCCAUACUAUUAUGUUGUUUCGAUCUAAAGCUUGAGGGUAAUCUGCCAGUACAAGUACCUUCUUAAAUGUUGUUGAAUCCAAUUAAAGUUUUCCAGUGAAUUUAGAAUAAAUGUGAGACCACAUUAUGAUAGUAGAUGAAUAAGAGAAUAAGUAAGAAAAGAAUGGCACUAAUCUUUUAGUAAAAGUGACCCUCCAGGCAAAAAAUAAAUAAGUGAAAGAAAUCUAAAGGUUUAGGUAGCUGACUAUGAGUUUGCUUCAUUUACCCUUCUUUUUAAAUACAUUAAAAUUCCAGAUAUAAUUAGUAAAGUGUAUAUAAUAGCAUAUAUAUGUUUUGAUGCAAGCCGUAAGAAGAACUUUGGGAUCAUUGGCCAUUGAAAAGUGUGAUGGAAAUUCACUAUCACUGAUAAAGGAUAUCCAGGAGCAAACAUCAGAUACUAAGGCAAUUAGGCAGCAAGACUGGAAGCAGAACAACAGCCGACAGCAUACAUGAAUGUAUGCAAAGGAGUCUGCAGAGGCGAAGCACAGAAGAAGCAUUUUUAUUCCAGUUUCACAAUAAGCUAAAUCACUGCCUAGAAGUUCUUCCUAGAAGCAGAUAUGCCUGUGAGUACUUAAAUCCUCCAACUUAAAAUAUGGCAGAAUUAUUCUAACAGAAAUUAAACAUGUACUAAGAGAAACCAAGGAGAAUCUGCGUCAUUGUGCAUGGUCCCAUGCUUUGCAUGUGUUGACCUCUCUAACUCUAACUACAGCGGUUCCAUCAAAACCAAACAUAUCACACUAGAACUUUGAAUUCCAAAAAGACAUAGAAAAACUCACUUCAAAAAUAUUGCUCCACAAUUGAAAUACUAUAAUGUGAGGCAAACAAGAGAGAGCCAAAUAAAAGUUAAAUACUUAGUUCUUCUUUAUAAGUAAUCACUCAGAAUAUACCUAAAUAACCAAGUGCAUUUACG
rnacentral:lncRNA from 1 species